CCAUGGAGAAGAUCUCAGAGGGUGGGUGGAGAAUGAGGAGAAGAAAUAAACCUUAAAGACACCUGAGCAGAGUUCAUCAGGGAAAGGUGUGAAGAGGCGGAGUUUACUCCAGCCCCAAAUUAGGGUUAAGAUUAGACUUGAAAACUCAUUACAGUCACCACUGAUGCCAAAUGCAGAUAACCUCUUUCUGUGGUUGGAAGAUAAGUAUUCAUUUGCUUUAUAACCUAAUAAAUCCAUUUAGAAUUUAAAAGUGUUUGCAACUAGUCUUUUGUUGUUAGUUAGCUUAGCUUUACCUCCUUGGUUGAUUUCGUCCAGCUUCAAUGAGGCCAGCACUUCCCAGCACAUAGCUAGGGGAGAGGUUUACAUUUACAAGAGUAAGAUCAUUAGCAGCAUAAGGUGGUUGAAAGGGAAGGCAUAAUUGCUUUCACUUGCCUAGAGGGCAGAUCUGCUUCUAAAAGAAACACCACCUAAUUAAGAAGAUAUGCAGGAGCUGACAGCAUCAAAACCCACCAAGGAGAGGCAGAAGAGUGUGACGAGACACCAAGCAAUUGGGAAAAAAAUAAAUUAGCAGUCUAUAGCGAAUAAAAUAACAACAAGCCUGAGCAGUGAUGAAUCUCAACGGUUGCAUUCGUUUGAGUUAUGAAUUUGGACAAGGACAAGGGUGAUGCUGCCCUGCAUCGCCUCCCCGGUGCUCUGCGUAACUAAGGGCGGCUUUGCUGCAGCCACGAGAACAGGACAGCAAGAGCAAAAGGUAUUACUGAUGUUGAGCAUGUACGUGGGCUUGGGUUACUCUGAAUAAUUUAAGUCAGGCUUCUUUUAUCUCUCAAGAGUUGCUAUCGCUGCCACGCACAUGAAUCAGACAGGCUUCCCGGGCGGCAGGAGGUGGGGUACCUCCACUACAAUGGGAGCCGAAAGGGAAAAGCUACAGAAAAUUUAAAGAGACUCCAUAAUCACCCUGGACUUCAAAUCUCCGUGUGUGAUACAGCUGAAAGAUGUUCACCAAACUGAAGGUUUCACAAAGACAGGAGCUGCUGGAGAGCUGGGGAAGCUCUCGACCAACACGGGUGGUGGGGAAACAAAGCCCCAGGUUCAGAUCUGUCCCUGUGCCCUCCCGGAGCCUCUCCAAAACCUCCACGAGCAGAUGUGUGUGUGCUGCUGACAGGCUCCUAGAUGCCAGCUGCUAGUUGCUCCACACGGAGCUCGUGCCUUGUAGAGCAGAUUGGUCCCAGCAAAGCAGAAACAAGCGAACGGCACCGCCCUGGCCUCCAGCCCUGAGGCAGCGCCGUCCGAUGGAUGGUGCCAUCCUCAGCAGGGCCACAUGCCCCUGGAGAGGCACCACCUGCAGCCCUGCACCUCCCCAAAAAGCUCUGCCCAGGGAGCUGCAAAGCACCUGAUGCUCACACAGCCAAGGAGGGCAGCUUGACAGUCCCUGGAUCAGAACAGGAGCCUGCGUUUAUGCAGCACAGCGCUCUUCUUGCAAACAAGUGGUUAUUUCAAGCUGUAUCUUUCAGACGGAGCCACCAAAAGUAAUUGCUAAAUUAAUGGGGCAAUAACAAAUGUACAUAUAUUUGGUUAUGGCUUGGCAAACUCAGCUCGAGAAUUAAUUGUAUAUUAAUUCUCUUCUCUGUUCUGCAGAAGCUAAAACUUUAAUUCAAAACAGAAGACUACCAGCUUGCGCAGUCUGUAAGUUACACUUCCAGCCUCAACACCAAGCCAAGAACUACACUGCAGAGCACUUCCAGUUGGGUUUUGCAUUGCUGGUGGGGAAAGGAGAGAGGAAAGAGAGGUUCCAGUGGUGGGUUUUUCAGUUCAUUGUAGGGACGCGAGGUUGGAUUGUGUAGGGAAGAGAAGCGAUCCUCCCAGCCCGUUACUCUGCCUGCUGCAAUGCCCUGGACAGCUCCAAAAAUAAAAGAACAGAGAUGGGAGGAGUAUAAAAACAGAGCUAAAACCUGGCUGGGGGGAACUACCGACAGUAUGAACCACGUGGAGAGACGGAGCUGCUGGGUUUGUACACAACACGCAGAAAAGGUUAUGCGAGAGCCGGCCAGGGAUAGCUGCAUGCCAUGGAGUUAGGAGCCAGAGCGAAUGCAUUUGUACCUGUAUGACACACACCUGGCCUGGACAGCACGGGAAAGCAGAUGCUGCGGGGAUGUGGAUGUUCACCUAUCAAUACCUCGUGAGGGGGGGAAAGCA